GCGUCCGUGGCUCAAUGGAUAGAGCACCAGAUUCCGGAUCUGGCGAUUGCAGGUUCGAGUCCUGUCGGGCGUA
rnacentral:tRNA from 3 species